AAAUACAUGCAGACAUUCGGUAGAAGCGAGUAGCGGAAAGCGGCGGACGGGUGAGUAACGCGUAGGCAACCUGCCCUUCACAGAGGUAUAGCCUCGGGAAACCGGGAUUAAAACCACAUAAAAUCAUAGGUUCGCAUGAACCAAAGGUCAAAGAUUUAUCGGUGAAUGAUGGGCCUGCGUCUGAUUAGCUGGUUGGUAGGGUAAAAGCCUACCAAGGCGACGAUCAGUAGCCGACCUGAGAGGGUGAUCGGCCACAUUGGAACUGAGACACGGUCCAAACUCCUACGGGAGGCAGCAGUGGGGGAUAUUGCACAAUGGGGGAAACCCUGAUGCAGCAACGCCGCGUGAGGUAUGAAGGCCUUUGGGUUGUAAGCCUCUGUCCUAGGGGAAGAAAAAAAU
rnacentral:rRNA from 1 species